AUUGAACGCUGGCGGCAUGCUUUACACAUGCAAGUCGAACGGCAGCAUGGGAUCUUCGGCCUGAUGGCGAGUGGCGAACGGGUGAGUAAUGCAUCGGAACGUACCCAGUCGUGGGGGAUAACGUAGCGAAAGUUACGCUAAUACCGCAUACGACCUGAGGGUGAAAGCAGGGGAUCUUCUGGACCUUGUGCGAUUGGAGCGGCCGAUGUCAGAUUAGCUAGUUGGUGGGGUAAAGGCCUACCAAGGCGACGAUCUGUAGCGGGUCUGAGAGGAUGAUCCGCCACACUGGGACUGAGACACGGCCCAGACUCCUACGGGAGGCAGCAGUGGGGAAUUUUGGACAAUGGGCGCAAGCCUGAUCCAGCCAUGCCGCGUGCGGGAAGAAGGCCUUCGGGUUGUAAACCGCUUUCAGACGGAAAGAAAUCGUCCGGGGCUAAUACCUCUGGCUGGAUGACGGUACCGUCAGAAGAAGCACCGGCUAACUACGUGCCAGCAGCCGCGGUAAUACGUAGGGUGCGAGCGUUAAUCGGAAUUACUGGGCGUAAAGCGUGCGCAGGCGGUUUCUUAAGCAAGAUGUGAAAUCCCCGGGCUUAACCUGGGAACUGCAUUUUGAACUGGGAGACUAGAGUGUGUCAGAGGGGGGUGGAAUUCCACGUGUAGCAGUGAAAUGCGUAGAGAUGUGGAGGAACACCGAUGGCGAAGGCAGCCCCCUGGGAUAACACUGACGCUCAUGCACGAAAGCGUGGGGAGCAAACAGGAUUAGAUACCCUGGUAGUCCACGCCCUAAACGAUGUCAACUGGUUGUUGGGAGAG
rnacentral:rRNA from 1 species